rfam:Zootermopsis nevadensis contig24099, whole genome shotgun sequence.
GCCACUGUGGUCUAGCUGUUAGAACGCUGGCCUUGCAAUCCUGGGGUCUCGGGUUCGAUUCCCGGCGGUGCCC